UUGAAGUCCGGCACACGAAUCCACUUAAAGAUCUCAACUUUUCUUGACUUCUGACUAUAGAAUUUGCACAAUGAGGCAAAGAGAACUCAAUUGAACAAUAAUUACUAGGACUUUAAUUCAAAUCCAAAGAGACAUGCUUCAAAUUGGUGACUACGGAACUGAGUUCGAACACUAAAAAAGACACAACUUUUCAAGUGAUCACUACUCUUAUAAGUCAAGUUCCCAUUACACAUAAUCUAAAAGCUAAUAAAGAUAACCAGGAAUCUUAAUACGGAUAAAGAGCAUACUCAUGACAUAAGCGAUCACAAUGGAGGAGACACCAGCAACAGCAUAAGAAGCUUUAACACUCUUGGCUUUGUUCUUAUCAAGCGCUAAAUCAAGCAUAACAAUCCCAAUUCCACCGAGAACGAACAUGAAUCCAGAAGAGAGACCUUCAAUGAUAUAUUGCCCGUUAACCCGACCCGACAUAAACACAACGGGUCGAAUAGUUCCAGUAGUCGGAUCCUGAGUUGAUCCGAUACCCGGAGGCUCGACAAUUACGUCGUAGACGAAACCGGAGACUACUAAAAAGUAGGUAAGGAGAAUUAGAGCGUAUACAGUCAUCGGAGAAGGAAGCGUGAACGAUGGAAUCUUCAGACGGAGGCGCGGUGGUCGGAGAAAUGAGAAUGGGACGAUUCGGAGAAGGUGGAAUAUUGGAUCCAUUGAGGAUUGAUCUGAACCGUCUGAUACACUGGAGCCGGUUUGCGAAUCGGAUCUUGGAGCCAUUUUAUCGAAUCCUCCUUGGAUCUCUUCCUCUCUCACCCUAUCGACGGAAUCAGGAAGAGUUUCAGAAUUGGCUUUGUUUGGAAACUAGGAUAAAG